UCAAGUAGGUUGCCAGUUUCCACAAUUCUGU
rnacentral:piRNA from 1 species